UGAUCAGAAGAUAACAUGAUCUGGCUUCUAUCUUAACAGGACCUUUCUGGCCACUGUUAAAAAUAUAUAGUGGAAGAGAAUGGAAGCAGGGAUUCAGCUUAUAAGGCUUUUGAAAUAAUCCUGGUGAGAGAUGAUGAUGGAUUGGCAGUGGAGAUGAUCAUCAACCUAGAAGAGAAACAGUGAAAGGAUGGAGGGAAAUCUGGGGUAAGUGCUUGAAUUUCAGCUCCCCCUCACAUACCCACACACAUAUACUUCUAGCCCCAUUUCCUGGCAGAAUGAGGCAUGUGAUCACCAGUGCUAUGGACGCCCUAGAGAAUGGUUACUCUGAAAGGUAGCCUGAUGUAAUUAAAUGGCCGCGUAUCUUGAAGUCAGGGAGCUGCCUAUGAAUCAAGACUGUUACUCACUCCCUCUGUGACUUAGAGCUUUUAGGAGCUUCUGCCUCCUCAUCUAUAAAAUGAAGAUAAUAACACUCAUA